ACCUAACAGAAGGGGGGACACAACCCAAAUAUAUCGGAAGUAUGCAAUGGGUGCCCAAAGUAAAAAUGGUAAACCAAAAAACCAAUUAUGAUGUAUCUAUAUAGUUUUUAGAGGGCUCCGGUAUUGAGCAUGUCUAAAUUUACAAACAAAAAUCAAAAUAGGAACAAUUAUAUUAUAAAGUCUGAGUCAUGAUGAGAAUGUCUUAUGAUCACAUCCCUUUCUCUAGCAGCCACGAUUCCGAAGUGUAACAUUGCUCAUGUUUUUAUGGUUGUCAAC
rnacentral:lncRNA from 1 species